rnacentral:tRNA from 2 species
GCCCCCGUAGCUCAGUGGCAGAGCGGCGGACUUCUAAUCCGCGGGUCGCAGGUUCAAGUCCUGCCGGGGGUG